CCCUCCAAGGUCACCAGGGACACCCUUCUAAGACCCUCCAGGAAUCUGCAAUCCCAUUCUCUACCUCUGGAGAUCAGCAUGGCGGAUGAGAGCAGCGAUGCGGCUGGGGAACCCCAGCCGGCGCCUGCUCCUGUCCGACGUCGCUCCUCGGCCAACUACCGAGCCUAUGCCACCGAGCCACAUGCCAAGGUGGGGAGGGGUCCUAGAGGACGGUACUUCUGGGUUCAGAAUCCUCUGGGACCCCAGGGGCGGCACCAAGGCCUUGGAAAGGGGUGGAGCCCGAUGGGUGGGGCAGAAUUUCAAAGAGGUACAGGUUGGGGUUGGUGACAGCUGCCUGUGGGAGAAACUCCUCUGCCUACAGCAAGGCAUAGGCGUGAGCACGGUGAUUAGCAGUGGAUAGAUAGGCAGUGUGUAGCUCUAGUCAGAGACAAAGAUUGGUGGAUGGGACCGAAGGACGUGGCUUCCAGUGGACUCAGCAUUCUGGUUGAAGAAUGGGUGAGCCGAAUGGUUAUGCACUUGAGUGGGUGGUGGUGCCUUGCAGCCCCGCCCAAUGUCCACUUUGGGACCUCUCACUGACCUUUCUCCCUAUCACCCUGGCAGAAAAAGUCUAAGAUCUCCGCCUCCAGAAAACUUCAGUUGAAGACUCUGAUGCUGCAGAUUGCGAAGCAGGAGAUGGAGCGUGAGGCAGAGGAGCGACGUGGAGAGAAGGGCCGCGUUCUGAGCACGCGUUGCCAGCCCUUGGUGUUGG
rnacentral:lncRNA from 1 species